rnacentral:rRNA from 1 species
UACAGAGGGUGCAAGCGUUAAUCGGAAUUACUGGGCGUAAAGCGAGCGUAGGUGGCUUGAUAAGUCAGAUGUGAAAGCCCCGGGCUUAACCUGGGAACGGCAUCUGAUACUGUUGAGCUAGAGUAGGUGAGAGGAAGGUAGAAUUCCAGGUGUAGCGGUGAAAUGCGUAGAGAUCUGGAGGAAUACCGAUGGCGAAGGCAGCCUUCUGGCAUCAUACUGACACUGAGGCUCGAAAGCGUGGGUAGCAAACAGG